CUACGGGAUGCAGCAGUGAGGAAUAUUGCACAAUGGGGGGAACCCUGAUGCAGCAACGCCGCGUGGAGGAUGACGCAUUUCGAUGUGUAAACUCCUUUUAUAUGUCAAGAAAAUGACGGUAGCAUAUGAAUAAGCACCGGCUAACUCCGUGCCAGCAGCCGCGGUAAUACGGAGGGUGCAAGCGUUACUCGGAAUCACUGGGCGUAAAGGACGCGUAGGCGGGUUGGAAAGUCAGGUGUGAAAUCCUACAGCUUAACUGUAGAACUGCACUUGAAACUUCUAAUCUAGAGUAUGGGAGGGGGAGAUGGAAUUAGUGGUGUAGGGGUAAAAUCCGUAGAUAUCACUAGGAAUACCUAAAGCGAAGGCGAUCUCCUGGAACAUUACUGACGCUAAGGCGUAAAAGCGUGGGGAGCAAACAGGAUUAGAUACCCCGGUAGUC
rnacentral:rRNA from 1 species